GGUGUAGUGGCCCUUGGCCCAGUUGUUGCCGGCGCCGGACUGGCCGAAGACGAAGUUGUCGGGGCGGAAGAUCUGGCCAUAGGGGCCGGAGCGGACGGAGUCCAUGGUGCCGGGCUCGAGGUCCAUGAGCACGGCGCGGGGCACGUAGCGGCCGCCGCUGGCCUCGUUGUAGUAGACGUUGAUCCGCUCGAGCUGGAGGUCGGAGUCGCCGGAGUACUUG
rnacentral:lncRNA from 1 species